AGCGAACGCUGGCGGCAUGCUUAACACAUGCAAGUCGCACGGAUCUUUCGGGAUCAGUGGCGGACGGGUGAGUAACGCGUAGGGAUCUAUCCAUGGGUGGGGGACAACUCCGGGAAACUGGAGCUAAUACCGCAUGAUACCUGAGGGUCAAAGGCGCAAGUCGCCUGUGGAGGAACCUGCGUUCGAUUAGCUAGUUGGUGGGGUAAAGGCCUACCAAGGCGAUGAUCGAUAGCUGGUUUGAGAGGAUGAUCAGCCACACUGGGACUGAGACACGGCCCAGAAUCCUACGGGAGGCAGGAGUGGGGAAUAUUGGACAAUGGGCGAAAGCCUGAUCCAGCAAUGCCGCGUGUGUGAAGAAGGUCUUCGGAUUGUAAAGCACUUUCGACGGGGACGAUGAUGACGGUACCCGUAGAAGAAGCCCCGGCUAACUUCGUG
rnacentral:rRNA from 1 species